CGGACCCGUGUCCCUUGCAUUGGCAGGUGGAUUCUCAACCACUGCGCCACCAGGGAAGCCCAGAUGGUUAGCUUUUAACAUACACUUAUGCGGCCCUUGUGGGGGGUUACUUUCUACUUUAUGCCCUGCGGUAGCGCUGUCGGUUUUUUAACAACAUCAUGGCCUGUGUAUACAUAUACGCAAGUCUGUAAACACAAGAUAGUAAAGCAGUGGUUAUUUCCAUUUGAACAGGCACAUAGGAGACAAAGCAGGGGUAGCGUAAAGACCUUAGAAUUAUGCAUGAGUUAGGAAACAGGAUGCUUGUGAAUUGAGCUUAGACAGGCACUUAAAAUCUCUGGACGCAUGGGCUUCCCUGGUGGCGCAGCGGUUAAGAAUCCGCCUGCCGCAGGCUGCCCCGGUGCCGCCGUGAUCGUCCCUGUGCGCUGCUUCACGGCCGGCAAGAUCGCCGGCAGCAAGUGGGAGGCCAACCUGGGGCUGCUGCAGGCCGAGGACACCGAGGGGGGGGCGCCCUGGAUGCGCUGGGCCUGAAGCGCUACUGCUGCCGCCGCAUGCUUCUGGCCCACGUGGACCUGAUCGAGAAGCUGCUCAACUCCGCGCCCCUGGAGAAGUGACUCCGGCUCGGCAGGCUGCGUCUCGCCCACGGCUCGUUCCCUGGAGGUGUGGGGAGCUGGAAGCAAGGCCCGCCCGCCCGUGGCCCUGUCGGCAUGGGUCUCCCUCUCUGGAAAGAACCAUCCAGUAAAUGUUUUUGAGGAC